AAGAUGACUCUAAAGCGUAGGGUAGUGUGACAUAGUUCAGAUUCCCCUUUUAGGAACCAAACCUGCAGUUCUCCCCAUCCACACUGCAAUGCUAGAGGGCCUGGGAGAGGAACAGGGAAACUGCAGGACUGACACCAUUUUGGAUGCAGCAAUUUAGAGACAUUAUUUGACUGAUAGAUUUUGAACAUGAUAGGUAAUUAGGAAUGUACUAAUUCACAAUAAUGCGGCCGGAGGCAGCUAGGGAAGAAUAGAGGAGUGUUUUUCUUCUGAGUAUGGUUCUGUGUGGAUAUAUUUAAAAAUUUUUUUUUUCGUUGUAGAUGGACACAGUACCUUUAUUUUAUUUAUUUAUUGUAUGUGGUGCUGAGGAUUGAACCCAGUGCCUUACGUGUGCCAGGCAAGGCGCUCUUGCAGUUGAGCCACAACCCCUGCCUGUGGAUUUAUCUUAAAUUGCUUCAUGUCUUUCAGAAUUAGAACAUUAAGAAAAAAGAAGAACCAGUCUAAUAUGAAGGUCUUUUAGACUCUAAAAUAUUUCAAAGGAAAUGUAGACACCAUUUUGCUUUAAAGCUCUGGUAUACUGGAGUCACAGGGACUUUGAAGUCAGAUCUAAAUCUUUAUUCCUUAAUAUCAAGCUCUGUGUCUUAAGGCAUGUUCCAUGGACUCUCAGCAUGUUGCCUCAUCUUUAUGGUGAUUGUACAAUCUCACAGGGUUGUCUGGAUUGAAUGACAAUCCAUUCUGCACAAGGCCAGGCACAUAGGAAGUUCUUGAUAUGUGGAGGGUGUAAGAAAAAUAUGUCUGGGAAAAGAGGAGCCUAUUACCACGUAUUGUAGUACAGCAUUUUCACAUCUGGGAAUUCAGUGCUGGACUCAGAUGUAUCCUCAGUUUCUUGAACCCAUAGUUUAAAAAGCUAAUAAUGAAAUCCAUUUCUUUUGAAGACUAAUGAUAUAAUGAUGACCAUUUUUUUUUUUCUUGGUAUUAGGGAUUGAACACAGGGGUGCUUUACUACUGAGCUAUAUCCCCAGCCUUUUUAAAAAAAUAUUUUAUUUAGAGAUAGGGUCUUACUGAGUUGCUUAGGGCCUCACUCAGUUGCUGAGGCUGGCUUUGAACUCGUGAUCCUCCUGUCUCAGCCUCCUGAGCCACUGGGAUUAGAGGCAUGCACCAUUGCGCCUGGCCUAAUGAUGACUUUUGACUACCCAAAAUGCCAGAUGGGGGCUGGAGUUGUAGCUCAGUGGUGGAGCACUUUCCUCAUAUAUGUGAGGCACUAGGUUGAUCCUCAGCACCACAUAACAAUUAAAAAACAAAGGUGUCCAUCUACAACAACAACAAAAAAGCUUUAAAAGAAUGCUAGGUGGAAGGUACAUCAGCAAAUGUAAGGGUCUCCACGGUGCACAGGUCGGAAGGCUUGGCUAUCACCCUUUCCACACAAUUGCCAUCUUUAUUUUAGGAAGAGUAAAGUUAAGAUGGGAAGGAGUAUCUCUGAGGUCAUGCAGCCACUUGGCAGCAGGACUAGAAAAAAACCCAAAUUUCUUGAUUCUCUGGUCACCAAGCCCCAGGGCCAUUCUAUAAAAAAUAAUUUGGAAGGUGAAUUUAACAAAAGGAACUAGUCAGGUUCUUGGCAUGUGGCUUUGCAGAGUGACUGGAUUUCACUUUUCAGGAGAGGUGGAGCCUGAUUGCUUCACUGGGUGGUACUGAGCUGUCCCCUGGUUCUGCUAUGAGGGCUCCUGGCUUCCUGGCCUGCCAGAGGGAAACUGGAAAAGCUGGUCCAAGAGUAUUAUUGCCCCAGUAGAAUUUCUGGAUAAGACCUUUUUGUACCCAAAUGGAAGACCCUGGGCCCCUUCUGAUACUAUUCUGAGAUCAGUUUCUCUAGUGAGAAGGCAGGCUCAACACUGGGACAGUGAAUGCAUCAGAAGUUCCUCAGAGCUGUGCGAUUGCUUUGAGAGAAAGUUGUGGACAAUCCUUACCACUCAGGUUCCCACAAGAGAGAGGUGGGGAAGCUGGUGUUCCGCAGUGUCUAAUCCAGCCUUUCUCAAACAUUUGUGCCUCAGGAGCCCUUUAUACUUUUAGAAAUCAUUGAUGAUCCCAAAGGGUUCUUGCUUAUGUACAUUUUACCUGUUGACAUUUGCCAGUUUAGAAAUCACAUUCACAUUAUUCAUUAAAAAAUAACCCACUGUAUGUUAGCAAUAAAUAACCAUAACAGAUAUGUUUUCCAAAACAAAAACCAUGUUAGUGAGGAGAGGAAUUAUUUGGCAUUUUUAUAAAUCUUUCGUAUCUGGAUUCUCAUAUCUGCUUCAGCGUUCAAUCUGUUACAAUAUCACGUGUCUUAUAAACUCUGGAAAACACUACAUAAGUGAAUGAGAGUGAAAAGGCAAAAAAAUUUUAAGUGUUAUGAACAUGUUUUCACUUCACAGAUCCUUUGAAAGGGUCCUGGGAAGCUCUGAGAUUCUCUAGACCACCUUUGGAAAAGCCACUAAUCUAUUCCAAGAGGUGAAGGGGGUAAAAAUCCUAUUGAAUGGUUUGGAGGUCAGGAGAGGGAGAGGUUAGACCCCCUCAAUUUGACCCACACUCCACAGAAAGCAAACUCAGAGGGUUCUAAUAGAUUAUUUUUGAGAUUCCUCCCAACUGUUAAAUUCCACAUGUGGCUUCACUUUAAUUCAACAGACACCAAACACCUGCUAUGGGCUAAGUCUCCAAAGGAUAUGAAGAUGAAUAAGACAUGGCCCUUGCAAUCAAAGAAUUUGUUAUGUAAUUGGGGGUCACAUAAUGUCAGGGCAAGGCCCGCUGCCAAAUGUCUGGAAAUGGCAUCAGGCUAGCAGGUAAUGGAGAAAGGGCUAAUUUCCACUUCCCCAUCAAAGGGAAAAACCAGAUGCAAUUUCCUUUCCUUUUGAACCAGCAUGUUGAAUAAUGCCCCACUGGCAUUCAAGGUCCCUAUCAUCAUUUACCUAUCUUUGAAUUAUUUGCUACCCACUUUACCUCUUGUAUGAUUGCAGCAUGUGUCCUUAGCAAGCUGAGAAUCCGCGAUGCUGAUCAGUUUGAAAUCUGGCUGUUCCAGGGCCUGCCACCUCCACAGCACUGAACUUUGUUCCUGCUGCUGCUGCCCUCAGGGCACUGCUGUCUGUCUACAAGGCCUUGCCAUGAGGUGCCCCUCUCCUUGACCCCCUUAGCUUUCCCACUGGUGACACCUUACUUCCCAGAUCUCCUCCUUGCCAAAUUAAGCUCUUUGAAGUGUCCUUAGCCCAUCUUCUCCCGAAAUUUCCAAUCUCUGCUGCUCACUGGCUGCUAAGCUUUUCUUCAUUCAGCUCCAUUGCUCCCUAUCAACCCUUUUCUUCAUUCACUGCCAAAACUUGUUGAAGGGAUGGCAGAGACCAGCCCGCUCCCUGGCAUCAUUGUUCCUGUAAACUUCUGCAUACUCCCUGUCCCCUUUACUCUGCUUUAUUUUGCCAACACAUUUGUUGCCUAUGUUCUGUACCAGAAUGGAAGCUCCCUAAAAGCAGGGAUUUUUGAAUUUUGCUUCCUGUUGAAUCCCCAUCAUCCAGAUAAGUGCUGGGCAUAUAGCAGGCCCUCAUAUUUUUGUUGAAAGAAUGAAUGACUUGUCUUUCCCCACUAUACUGUAACUCUGUAAGGUUACAGAGGCUUUGUUUUGUUCAUGUUUUACAUUUAUAUCUUCAGCACAAUGCCUGGCACCUAAUAAGGAUGUUUUGGAUUAGUGAAUGAAUCCAGUUCCAGAUAAAUUAUAUAUUUUGUUGUUGUUGUUUUGGGGGACACCAGGGAUUGAACUCAGGGGCACUUGACCACCGAGUCACAUCUCCAGCCCUAUUUUGUAUUUUAUUUAUUUAGAGACAGGUUCUCACUGAGUUGUUUAGCGCUUUGCUUUUCCUGAGGCUGGCUUUGACUUUGUGAUCCUCCUGUCUCAGCCCCCCAACCCCAAGCCACUGGGAUUACAGGUGUGGGUCACUGCACCAGACAGUUAUUUUCUUUUAGAGUUGCUUUUGCCAGGUGUGGUGGCUCACGACUGCAAAUUGGGAGGCUGAGGCAAGAGGAUUGAAAGUUCAAGGCCAGCCUCAGCAAUUUAGUGAGGCCCUAAGCAACUUAGCAACACCAUGUCUCAAAAAAUAAAAAGGACUGGGGAUGUAGCUCAGUGGCAAAGUGCUCUGGGUUCAGUCUCCAGUACCCAAAAAAGCUGCUUGGGUUGCUAUUGUUUAUAUAUUGUCCUUUGCAUCUUCCCCUUCCUGCUGUGACCUCCACCUUGGCUUCAGCAAUAACCUUCAAAGCUCUGCAGCUGAAAUCCAUCCUGCACAUGUUGCCACAUUACUUAGCUAAAAUAAUAUUCUGAUAUUGCUCUUCUGCUCAACAACUGCCAGUGCCUCCCCCUUGUAGUUUCUAAUGUAUAAAACAGACAUUGUUGCAAGCUGUUCAGAACCGUGGAAAAACUUUCUCAUUGGCGCAUACAGAUCAAUCAAGUCAGUUCAUGAUGUGCAUAUAUAUAUAUAUAUAUAUAUAUGAAAGAUAUAUAUAUAUAUAUGUGAUAUAUAAACACACAUAUAUACAUAUAUGUAUAUACAUGUUUGUUUGUUUUUUCAUAGAGACUGUAACAGCUCGUCACUGAAUUGUAGCUUAAACAAAUGUAAAACAAUGUUUCUAGAGGAAAAUGCUCAGGUUCAUUUCAGGAUGCCAAGCACAGUUCCCUGCCUGUAGGGAAUUCCCCCUCUAAGCCAAAAUUGGUGAUUCUUAUGGGCUGUGACAGCGGCUGUCUAAAUACACCUGACAUUUAAAGCACUUUCAUAUUCCAGUGUCAUCAUGAAAUCUUCAUGAUGAAAUCUUUACCCCAUCAUUCUAGCCAACAGUGAUAGUUUUCCUGAUCUGAAGUCUAGAUGGCUUAUUUGACAGCUGUUCUAUCUACUAUAUUAUCAUGUAUUUUUAAUUCCUGAGUAUGUCUUAACUCUGAAGAGACUGUAAGCUCUUGGAGGGAAAUGGAUCUGUUCUUACAUGCUGUACAAUCUGUGAGCAUUCAUUAAAUAGUCACUGUGUAAAUGGA
rnacentral:lncRNA from 1 species